AUCUUAUCAAGAGAGGCAGAGGGAGUGGCCCUGUGAAGCCCAGCAACCUGUUAACACAAGGUGCUAAAUCCAACAACUAAAAAUUUAGUUGAAAGAUGAGUA
rnacentral:ncRNA from 2 species